CUCUACGGCCAUACCACCCUGAACGCACCCGUUCUCGUCUGAUCUCGGAAGCUAAGCAGGGUCGGGCCUGGUUAGUUCUUGGAUGGGAAAGAGU
ensembl:rRNA 5S_rRNA 5S ribosomal RNA